GCCGCCAUGUUCCCCUGGAGGGACGCCUCUCUUGCUCUCUGCUGCUCUCCAGUCUGUUGAGGUAGAGGUCUUUUCUCAUGAACCUCGGGAACAGCAGCUUUAACCCUGCGCACCUGAGCCACCAUAAGCAAGAUGGAAUCUUUCCCCGGUUCUAAGAAAUGGGAAGAGAGGUCGCCUGAAGAGACCUUUUUCCCAAGCAAGAGCAGAAAGCAGGUGCAAGCUGGAAGAACAGGGGAUCCCUCAAGUUAGACUGAAAGUAAAUAUGCCUUUGACAUCUCAGGGCUUCUGCUGCUGGUUUCACAUGAACCCAUGGGAUGGCAGUGUUUGCAGUGCUGCCCAGCUGGAUGAGGUCUCCUCAGUGCGUGCAGGCAGCUGAAAUUCUUGAUUACUUGUUUUCUUCAUGAACCAUUUUCUUCUAAAACUACUGGUAGCAGAGCUAACCAAGACUCCUGAGAACAGCAUUCUUUUUUCAUCAGAAUGGCCUGAAUCAUUAAAUAUAAGCAAGAAAAUGAAUUCAUUUCUGUAAAAACGUCCUUAGUCCCAGAAUGUGUAUGCAUGAAAGGAAGAGGUCUGCCAGACAGGACUGAGAUGCUUAUGCUGAAGGCUGUAACCACACCGAUGAGAGAAGAGUGGUUGAGAUGAUCUGUAGAUGUCAGAGCUGCUUCUUGCUGCAUUGUGAACAAGAUAUCCUGAGCAAAAGGAUUUAUUUUAAAACCUGUCAGAAACAACCUAGGCAAAGCAAAUAGAGAUGUAAGGGGUAGGUACUGCAUAGAUGACUGUUGCAAAGUUGAUUUCAUGCUUUAAGUGUCCGUGUCACUGAAGAGAAUACAGGUGAGCGCAGGUGUUUCCACUGCUGUUCUGUAGCAGGCUGAAAAUGCACAGCGGACCAUUGUCAAGCUGAAUAAUUCUAUGCAGCAGUUUGUGACCCUGCCACCUUUUGUAUGGCUUGAUCUCGUCAGCCGCAGACCUUUGGGCAGUCAUGAUGAUUGGAUUGGUUGAUACACAACUGAAAGAGACUGCGGAGAUAUUAAGUAGCUUCUGCCUGUUGCCAUGGGCCUGACGGUUAGGAAGUGCUACUGAGUCUUUGUAUUCUAACAGUGGGUGAUGUAGUACCUGCCAGUGACUUAGGAGUCUAACCCAAAGCUUCAUGUUUGAACUACACGAAAGAUACCUUCAAAGGAGAUGUCUGAGACCAAUUUAAAAUAGCAAAUGGUGUCCAACCUGUUUCUGUAGUAUUUUACUGCUUCAGAACUCACUCUGGGAAAGAUGCAAUUUGAGUCCCAAUUAAAAAAAUUCCUUUGGAUUUCAACUUGCCAAGCUGAGCUGGUGUGCAGGACAUGAGAGGGGGAAAAAAUGAUGGGAAGCAGAAGUCGGGAAGUAGAUGAUGUGGCAUGCUGCCUCGGCGUGAUAGAAACAACAUCUGUGUUUCAGUCAUUGCUUGGGUAGUGCUGUUUGGGAAUGUGUCUAGUGGAGGAGCACAAGAAAAGCACUACCUACCUCUGAUUCAAAGGAAAAAUAAAAGACUUCUUAGUAACUGCUUAUAAGUAAUGAGAAAUAAAUACUGAUUACACUAACAUUUAUUAUUAUAGGCUCUUAAGUGUUGCCGUAUUGUUUGGAAUUAAUAUGUCUAGCAUGUACGGUUGUAUUAUAAGUAGGUAUGAAUGAGUAUAUGCUGUAAAAGUGUCCUAAGUAGAUCUCUCUUUACAUCCUCCCCUGUCUCCUCCACUUCUAUAACACCCUCAUUUCCAGCGAGCAGAAGAGAUCUCCUUGGCACAGCUUAGGGGAAAGCUAACCUAAAGCUGUGCACUUUCUCCUACUGGGCACUGCUCAGCAGGGGAGGCUGUUCUUUGCUUCAGCCAGUAGUAAGGAGGGUGGCAGGAGGUCUCUUACAGCAGAGGAUGUGAAGCAUGCAUUUGCAUAGGCUGCUUUUCCUUGCCUCCCCUCUGCUCUCCAGCAAGCACGGGUUUAUUUUAGCGUUGGCCUUCUGAAACAGGAUUGUUUUUCCCCUGAAUAGGUCAGGCUGGGAUAAUGCCAGGAUACAUGGCCUUCCAUAGCUGGGGUGACUCGGGAAGCCGGAGAUACCUACUAAGUAGACAGUGCCUCUAACUGCUGGGCCUGUGCCCAGUGUCAGAGGAGUAUCCUAAAAUAACCUUUGUGAUAAACGGCAGGGAGAGCCUUGGGCAAAUUGACUUUUUCUGAGGCGGGUGUCAGGCUGAAACAGGUUACAGUGCUGCCCUCUGUUGUUGGAAUUCAAAAAAACUCACACAAGGCCAUGCUGAAAUUCAGCCGAACCUUCAUAAAAGGUCUCUAGAAAAGCCCCAGGUGAAUACAUAAAGUAUUUAAUCCACUUGUUUCAUAUGGUGGUUCAGCCCAUCGGUAUGUGCCUGCAUCUCUUUGCUAGCAGUUCAGUUUGUAGAAACAGAAUACGGCUAAUAAUGCUAUUCCUUUUUUUAGCAGAUAGAGUCUUCAUGGCUGAUCUUGAGUCCCAGAAAUCAUACAUCGUGGGAUGCUUAUUUGUAUUUUAGUGCACGGGGGAAGUAUAGAGGAAGAAUUUUUUAUUGAGCUUUUUUCCCGUAGCUGAUCUAUGAACCAGUAUGGAAGCAAGAUGAAAGUAGUCUGAUAUUUCCAUCUGAACUGGAAGGAAAUCCCAUCAAGAAGCAUUUUCUAGUCCUAAUGUAAUGCAGCCUUGCCAGACCUGGCACUUAGGUGGCUCCAAAUCCUUGCACAAAUGCAGAUUUCACAGGGAUGGGAGAAUCAGUACAUCAUCUGCUGUGACUGCAGUCGAAGCCAACUUGGCAAAGUUGUUUCAGUCUGAUUUCAUUCCACUCGGCCACACUCUGAUCAUCAUCCAUUAGUGUGCACUGAGAGCACAUGGGAACAGACAAACCUUGCAGGAACAAACAACAAGCAUAGCGGUCAGUGGAGAAAUCCUCAGUCCCUGUGCACAUGAAGCUGAUGGAUCACUGACUUGAAGAGCCAGGUGGUAAUACCCCUUGAGGAAGACACUCCCUGGCAACUUGGAAACCUUGACAUCUGGCUAACCUUCAGCUGGUGGGUGUCUGGCAUUCUCCAUUCACUGCCUAAUUCUGCCCCUGAGACCAAGAAACACCGGACACCAUGGAUCACAGAGCCACUGGACCCCAUGAUGGUGCCUGUUCCCUUUGCAAAAUUCUGUGACUGCCUUGAAGCUGUGAUUUGGCACCACAAGCAAAAAAUCUGUGUGGAUAUGAUGCUAUAUAUUUAUCAAUGACAACUGUGAUCUGGAGACUAAGGGCUUUCACAAUGCAACAGUCUUUAUUCUGGAGGAGUUCAAGUCACAGAGAACUGGUUCAUAAGCAAAUGUUUAGCUUGAAAUAUGUCAGUGAAGCAUCCUAAAUUGUGAGAGAUCUCCAAUGUGUUGUUUAUAUAAAGUGAUAUUUUUGUAAACUCCAUUAAGUCUUAUGCUGUUUUUGUGCAGUGCAAUCAGACUAUUCUUUGGGGUGGAGCUGUGUACUGAGAGGGGGAAGGGAGACAAUUUUCCCUUUACCAUGUAGGGUAGGCAGGAUAUUUGAAAUAGAGCUGGGCCUUUUUGCCAAGUGAUGGUAUGUCUGGUUUAAUGUAGGUCAAUCCUUUUACUAACUUAGGGCUCAUUUGCUUUCAGUGAGUAUGAAAUUGUGCUUUCUUAGUAUUGUUUUGUCUUUUUUACAUUUGUCUGAGAAAAAGCAACAAGUUGAAGAGAAGGUGAUUAGUCAUCAGGAGUUUCAGAUGGCAAACGAGUGCAGGUGUGAGAUGCCUUUAUUUGAGGAUGCUGCAUAAACAUCAUUAAACAUAUGAUAAAAUGGAAAUAAGAGUUUCCCAGUCUGUAUGCGCAAAUGUUUGGCGUGGAGAUUACUGAUGAAGAGUUUGAGCUGCUACUUGACAGAAUCCCCCUUGAUGAAGAUGGAAAUGUCAGAUACCCCCAGUUCAUGGCCAGGUUUGAUUCCUGGUAUGCCGUGUAUGCAUUUUAUUUCUCGUUUGGCCGUCAAAUAGGACACAGGAUUCAUGAGAUGCAUAUGUCCUUCUGGAAUGAUAUCCUCUAGAGGGCCGUGUGGAAUCGUCCUAAUCCGGGAAGAGCCACUGCCUCCCUGUGUGAUCUGACACAGUGACAUAUCACUUGACCUCGGUCGCGGCAGCUGUACAGCGAGGUGGAAAAGGCGGCUGACGGACAAGCAGGGGAUGCCUUUCAGCACAGCUUCCUCGGGGUAAACCACCGGCAAACUCACGGCUUGGCUUCUUUCUCACUCACCCACGAGUUUCAGAUCAAAUUCAGAUACAGUUGAGAAGAAUGUAUGCUAUAUGGAAGAACACGCAGAAGUUGUGAGCAACCACACGGUCUGAAUGUUAAGGGUUCAUCCAUCUUCCUGCACAAGAAUGCCUUUAUCUGGAAAAGACAAACAUCCCAGGAGUCUGUAAGAAGUAAGAAGUAAGCUGUUGCAGCUUGAAUUUGUGAGAGGACUUCUGUGGAGCCUGAACCACCUCCCUCCAUCUCAAAGGAGACCGAGCCUUCCCUCUUUCUUAAAGCAAGGCACCCUGGCAGCCUGCAUAGUAAGAUUGUAGCUCAGCAAGCUCCUGCUUGCAGCAUGUCCCAGCAGGCUGCAGAAGGGGAACGUGGAAAGGCAGACCCACUCCAAGGCUUUUGACUUGCCACACCUUUCCGAGAGGAUGACAUCUCAGAGGCUCUGUGUCUGUCCCAGAUUGUGACUGUUUUCUUCUGAAGAGCAAACGGAUGGAAAGUGCCUGCCAUUUCUCCGGACAAAAGCCUGGAAGGUUUUCAGUUAUUAGCCUUCUGAAGCAGCCCUUUCGCUCACCCAAGCGCAAAAAAAACUCAUUAGGGGGCACCUUUCUUUCUGCCUUCUUCAUCUGAUGCGUGUGGGGUUUACGUGUUUCAAGACUUUCAGGUCUCGGAUGGAUUUGGGCAGCCUCCCUUUUAACCCUGCCGGACUGUGGUUACGCCCUGGGCAGAGAUUGGCUGUAUCUGUGUGCACUGAACCACCUGGAGAUGCUUCGUCCUUUCAGCAGCUGUUUUACACCCCGCUGGUCUGCUGUUCUGUUGAGCGCUUCUGCCCGACGUACAGCACUGCCAUACCUGUGCCUGCCUCUUAGGAAAAAGAGCAACCCAAAAGUAUACUGACAGUUACAGUGACGGGAAGACUCUCUGAAGAGCCCUUAAGAAGCCACAUGUUGGCAGCUGAAUUUCAAUCCAUCCCAAAUCUCCACAGCUUCCUGCUAGAAGAGGAUGAAAUUGACCACAUGCUCUCAAAAUUCAUCUCAGUCUGAAAAGGCAGGUUAACUGCAAAUCCAUUUGGGGAAAAAAUUAUAACAACAACAACAACAACAAAAUUAAAAACUGCUACAAAUUAAUGUAGAAUAUUCCUUUGAGAAGGAUAACAGCCUUUAUGUCCCCCCAGUUGCCUAUCCUUCUAACUACGUCACAUGUAUAUUUCUCCUAUUUAUGUCCCUGGUCUAUUGACUGUGGGUCUGUACUGUACGUUGUUUUGUGGAGAGGUGGUAGAAGCCCUUUCUGAGAGCUUAAAGCAAAGCUGAAAAUAAGGCAGUUACAAACUAUGCGUAACGUAUGUUAUGUGACUGAGAAAACGAGCUGUCUGAAAAGGGGAGGCUAAGGUGCUCUAUGGAGAUUUGAGAAGGUGAAAUAUUCAAGCUGCUUUGCUGCCGGGUGCCUCCUCACAACAGAGCAGUGUUCCUUUGGCCUCACAGAAUUAGUUUAAGUCCUGCACGUGCAUGUGGGAGGGUAGAUUACUGUGCCUAGUUGUGUCAUCUUUUCUUCUUGGAGGAACAGUUCAUGCCUUCAGUACAGCAGGCAGUAGGACCUGCUCUGCAGUUGUUCUGCACCUGACUUCACUUUCACCAUCAGUGUAACUCAGUGUUUAGGACCAAGGUAGGUUACUUAUUUUCCUUACAUCUUUGCAAACACAGGGCUGUGUGUCUCAGUUAGUAAACUGAGCACCAAGAGCCAGUGAAAUAUGGAUCACUUACCUGUUUGGUAAGGUCUCUGCUGAUGCAGCUACAUCAUGCCUCCUCCUCGUGUAGCAGCUCUAGCUUCAGGGGUUUCCAGAAAGCUUUGUCUACUUGCAAGAGCUAAGGAUUUGGUCCAGAAUAUACACAAGUAGGUAAAUAGCAUGUUUGUUUGGUUGCUUUAAUAUACUGACUUUCCUGCAGGCAGUAAUUUGUAACCGACUAUAAGCAUUGGUACCCUUAGGCAACAUUUAAUUGGUUGUCAUGCAUCUUAGCCAUCUAACAGGUUUUUUUGGCUUUCCACAACGAAAAAUACACUUCUGGUCUUGUUCUUUUUCCAAAUACUUUCCCUCCUCCAGACAUCAAAGGGAAUUUACAGAACUUUCAGUAAUAAAACUCCAAUAAAAGGUUGCUUUUUUCCUCUCUCUUUGGUUAAAGAAAUGAGAAGGUAACAUAUGAAUAAAGUAUGUGAUGUAAGAAAAUUGUUAUUACAUUCUUCUAUCAAAAGAGGUUUUACUGUGGAACGUGUGGGACUGUGAGAUCCUUGGAACUUUCCAAUAUACAUUUGUGUUGUAUGUAAUGUAUGUUUUUUCAGGUUCUCCAAAGGCUUGUGAAAAUGUGUGAUCUGUGCUUGAUGAAUCUCAUUGAUCCCUGUUAGAUUUUCUCUUUCUGAAAGUGAAGUCGUGUGAGGUUUGUUCUGUAGGUUUUACUGUUCCUUCUACAGACCCCAGUCCUGAAAGCCCAGCAGUGGAUUUGGUAGUAAGGGCAAAUUGUUUCCGUCCUAUAUCCUUUGGCAGCAAAAUUCUGCACCCUAAUGUUCACUCGCAGCUAUCGUGGCAUCACUGUUGUAAGUCAGUAAGGUUAUACAGGUGGACAUUUUAGUCUGGGGGGAAAAAUUAACAAAAAGAUCAA
rnacentral:lncRNA from 1 species